rnacentral:rRNA from 1 species
UACAGAGGUCUCAAGCGUUGUUCGGAUUCAUUGGGCGUAAAGGGUGCGUAGGCGGCGCGAUAAGUCGGGUGUGAAAUCUCGGAGCUUAACUCCGAAACUGCAUUCGAUACUGCCGUGCUUGAGGACUGGAGAGGAGACUGGAAUUUACGGUGUAGCGGUGAAAUGCGUAGAUAUCAGGAGGAACACCGGUGGCGAAGGCGGGUCUCUGGGCAGUAACUGACGCUGAGGAGCGAAAGCGUGGGGAGCGAACAGG